GACGAACGCUGGCGGCAUGCCUAAUACAUGCAAGUCGAGCGAACAGAUGAAGUGCUUGCACUUCUGACGUUAGCGGCGAACGGGUGAGUAACACGUAAGGAAUCUACCUAUAAGCGGGGGAUAACAUUCGGAAACGGGUGCUAAUACCGCAUAAUAUCUUCUUCCGCAUGGAAGAAGAUUGAAAGACGGCUCUGCUGUCACUUAUAGAUGACCUUGCGGUGCAUUAGUUAGUUGGUGGGGUAGUGGCCUACCAAGACGAUGAUGCAUAGCCGACCGGAGAGGGUGAUCGGCCACAUUGGGACUGAGACACGGCCCAAACUCCUACGGGAGGCAGCAGUAGGGAACCUUCCGCAAUGGGCGAAAGCCUGACGGAGCAAUGCCGCGUGAGUGAAGAAGGCCUUCGGGUCGUAAAACUCUGUUAUAAGAGAAGAACAAAUUGUAGAGUAACUGCUACAGUCUUGACGGUAUCUUAUCAGAAAGCCACGGCUAACUACGUGCCAGCAGCCGCGGUAA
rnacentral:rRNA from 1 species